rfam:Triticum aestivum genome assembly, contig: Triticum_aestivum_CS42_TGACv1_scaffold_222579_3B
GGUCCUGUAGCUUAGUUGGUUAGAGUGUCGGUCUGAUAUACCAAAGGUCAUGGGUUCAAGCUCCAUCGGGACCA